UACAGAGGGUGCAAGCGUUAAUCGGAAUUACUGGGCGUAAAGGGCGCGUAGGCGGCCCGCUAAGUCGAACGUGAAAUCCCCGAGCUCAACUCGGGAACUGCGUCCGAUACUGGCGGGCUGAAUCCGGGAGAGGGAUGCGGAAUUCCAGGUGUAGCGGUGAAAUGCGUAGAUAUCUGGAGGAACACCGGUGGCGAAGGCGGCAUCCUGGACCGGUAUUGACGCUGAGGCGCGAAAGCUAGGGGAGCAAACGGG
rnacentral:rRNA from 1 species